CGCAACCAAGAUGUAAAAUACCGAAUAUAAUUAUGUAUAAAAAAGUAUAAAUAAGUAUAGGGGAACAUACCAUCGUAUCUAUCAUUGUGAAAUUAGGUGUUAAAGGUAUAUAGAAGAAAAUGAGGUUCUUUAUUCUUCUUGCCGUAUUGGCUGUAGCUGUGAAUGCUACGUCAGUCCACCAACAAUGGGCUCAAUUUAAGGUA
rnacentral:lncRNA from 1 species